rnacentral:rRNA from 1 species
CCUACGGGUGGCAGCAGUGAGGAAUAUUGGGCAAUGGGCGCAAGCCUGACCCAACAACGCCGCGUGAAGGAAGAAGGCUUUCGGGUUGUAAACUUCUUUUCUCAGGGACGAAGAAAGUGACGGUACCUGAGGAAUAAGCCACGGCUAACUACGUGCCAGCAGCCGCGGUAAUACGUAGGUGGCAAGCGUUAUCCGGAUUUAUUGGGUGUAAAGGGCGUGUAGGCGGGAGCGCAAGUCAGAUGUGAAAACUCAGGGCUCAACCCUGAGCCUGCAUUUGAAACUGUGUUUCUUGAGUGCUGGAGAGGCAAUCGGAAUUCCGUGUGUAGCGGUGAAAUGCGUAGAUAUACGGAGGAACACCAGUGGCGAAGGCGGAUUGCUGGACAGCAACUGACGCUGAGGCGCGAAAGCGUGGGGAGCAAACAGGAUUAGAUACCCCAGUAGUC